rnacentral:rRNA from 1 species
GGAGGGGGGGCUAGCGUUGUUCGGAUUUACUGGGCGUAAAGGGCGCGUAGGCGGGUAUGCCAUGUCAGGGGGGGUGAAAAGGGCCUGGGCUCAACCCAGGAACUGCCUUUGAAACUGGCAAACUAGAGUCCGAUAGAGGAUGGCGGAAUUCCCAGUGUAGAGGUGAAAUUCGUAGAUAUUGGGAAGAACACCAGUGGCGAAGGCGGCCAUCUGGAUCGGCACUGACGCUGAGGCGCGAAAGCGUGGGGAGCAAACAGGAUUAGAUACCCUGGUAGUCCACGCCGUAAACGAUGUGUGCUAGACGUUGGGGGCCUUAGGCCCUGGGUGUCGCAGCUAACGCGUUAAGCACACCGCCUGGGGAGUACGGCCGCAAGGUUA